rnacentral:lncRNA from 1 species
UGGUUUAUUUAUGUAUGUUUAUUCCAAACAUAACCUUAUAAACAAACAGUUGUUUAUUUAGAGUUAUUUAUUAUUGUUUUCUCAUAUUUUGCAAUUGUUAAGUUGGUUUACUUCGAAUUUAAUGUGCAUUACUGUGGUAUUUCUCCAGUUUUCUAAGAAGGUUGGUGAUUUUGAAUUGGGAUUAUGAUGAAUUUAACCCAAAGGCAAUGUGUGUGUUUAUUUAUGUGGCAAAAUUCCAGGCACCAUAAAAAUUUGAGUUUCUUCCUGUUGCCCAUGGCACAGCCCCAUGGAUGAAAAUCGGUUUGCAGAAUGAAAAGAAAUUGUUCAAUGUGAUAAACUUUCUAUGAAUAACAGUCCUCAGUGUUGUUACAUUAACUUUUAAAUAUGCAUCUUGAGGAGCAGGCCUUUGCAGAAAUACUGAAAAGCGGGUUGCAAAACAACGCAAAAUAAAAUAAACGAAAUAUGUCUUGGAAUGAUAAUUUUGUAAUUCUGUAGGCACAUCUAUUGAGAAGUUACAACCAGUGGCAAAGUGCCUUAAGGGAAUCUAUGACAUAUAUAAUUGAAGGUAUCAGCAUUGGCUCUACAGCCCAUGGUGGGUCUUGGCCUGUUCCAGAAUCAGCUUCCACUCUUUCCUAUCCUUUGCUUGGCUUUCCAAUUUCUCACUCGAGCAUGAAUUUUUGGUAUAUAUGGGAUUAUAUUGUGAUAACGACCAGAUCUAUGAAAGAAUAGUAUGUUGUUAAAGAAGAUUGUGGUGACACUAUUCAUGAAUAUCUGAUAAUAUUGGUUAAUGUGAAUGGAGUCCAAAAUGGGGUUUAGGCUGUUAUAUAAAAAACUAGGUCAUUAGCAUAUGGAAGUAGGGCGACAUUAUCUGGUAUUAAAUUAUGUGAAUGAGGAGAAUUAAACCUAAAAACUCUAUUUAUUCUGCUAAUCAAUAUGAAUUUAAUAUAUUUUAAUAUAAAACAUAUGUUAUUCUUUCUAGGGACACCUCCUCUGAAGGAAUUACAAUUAUUUGCCAGUAUGUCAAAUGAAUUUUCAACAUCAGUCAUACUUUCAUGAAUUUAUUGAUGAAAAUAAAACUAGGUACAUGAUUUAUUAUUUACUUCUAAGGGAUUCUAAGAUACUAUGUGUAAAAAGUCCAAUAUGCAGUGAUGAGCAUGCUAAUAACUGGCAAAAUAUGGGAUAUAACGCCAAAGAUGGGAAACAUGGGAUGCAUUCUGAAGUAAAAAGAGAUGAAACUGAGAGAAAUUAUUGAUAUAAACAUAUAAAUUAACAUUGCAUUACAUAGUUUCCCACCUUUAGACGUAUCAGAUGAGUAUGAGAACUGUCACUGUGCCAGGAGAAUUUUAUAAAAUACUCCUGUCACAGAGAUCUAAAGGUGGGAAACUAUGUAAUGUUAUCGUCGGCUAAGAGUGUUAACCUGCUAACUCUAUUUUUCACUGUGAGUGAUAUUGGGGUAGUUUCUAGGUCUGUGUACCUUCAUACCAUGUCCCACAAGCCCGCUGGUUCCACUGUAGUUUAGAGAUAGCUAUUUCUAAACUACAUUGGUGUCGGCGGGUUUGUGUGGUGGUGUAUGAAAAUACACGGACCCAGAAACUAGCCCAAUAUCACUCAAAGUGAAAAAUGGAGAUUAAAACUCUUAUCCAAGGUUAUGUUAAUUUAUUCGUUUAUAACGAUAAGUUCCACUUCUACCAGUUUCAUCUCUUUUUAUCUCACAAGUUAAUAUGUUUUCCAUCUUUUGCGUUAUUUUGCCGGUUAUUAGUGUGAGUGCUCAUUACUGUAUAUUUACGAUUCUGUGAUUUCUCAAUAUGAUGCUGAGUAGGUAUAGAUCUGAGUAGGUAUAUAGUAGGUAUCUACAACCCUUUCAAAACAGAAAUUUAUAAGUUCAUUUUAUGUACCUAUUAAACUUUAUUUUAAGGAUGAAUUUGAAAUGCUUGUAGGGAAUAUAUCUGUAAAAAAUAAAAUUGGUAUUGUAAAAUUGAAAUUCUCAAAAUAUAAUUUAUAAUUCGAA